CGCAUCACAGAGUCUGCGCUCAUUGGAGGCUGUGGUACGCGAUCACUUGACAGUAUGUAUAUUAAUACUUUUUCAUGCCUUAUUUUAUAUUCAAAAUAUAUGUUUAUUUUGUAUGAACAUAUAUCAAAGAAAGAAUAAAACGUGAAAACUUCGAAACAAGCAUCGAAUCUAGAAAUGCAAAUGAGCAGUUCAAAAUCAAGUGGCAAAAAAAACAAAUGACAUACGAUUCCGCGGAGAUGUGUCCAAAUUUUCCUACUAACCUUUGUCAUCGUACAGAAACAUAAGAAAACAUAAAGGAGCACACAGAAAUUCAGAUUUAUAUUUUCAUCUGGGAGCAGCAUGAGAGUUUUAUCUGGCUAGUAAAAGAAGAAGAUUUAUCCUCAGGAUGAUUUAAUUUCGUCAGGAGUUUUCAUUAUAAGUGAAUUAUUCUCUCCAUUAAUCUGGUGACUUGACCAGUGGAUUCACAUCAAGUUAGAUGCAAGAAAUAACAGUAAUGUAUGAGCUAACCAGAACUAACAAACUUUACCAAGUGAGUGGUUGGUGAGAAAGCGACAAUUUAGUCUGCUACACGCAUAUACUAUGCUUAUUUGUAUCGGAUUUAAUUAGCCGUCAGCCAAGACCCGAAAAAAUCAGUAGUUGAUUGAAAUAAUAAGCAUAUUACUGGCACCUAGCCAAGAAAGCUGCCGGAGGUAAAAGACAACUUCGUAGGAUUUUACUAGGCGUCAAUACAAGACUAUGAUAAAGAGCUAGAGACGGCUAUAAGGUAGUUCUUUUGAG